GGCCACGCACACACACGAGGAGUAAUCCUCUAUUCUUCGUUCAAGAGAUGUUCAUCGAUCUCUCUUGAGAUUUCAACACAGAACUGGAGGAGGGUUUCUGGGUGAGCAACCUCAUCGCUAAUUUUCUCGUACUCAAGGUACCAGUGCACAACACUACCAGGCCCUCCAUGCUUAGGGGUCACCUGGAUUGUGAUCACAAAGCUUUUGUACUCUUUCAUCAGAUCACCUUCUACAACCCUGAACGUGAUCAGGUUCUUCUCUGGCUCCACCGCCUCGACCCUCUCCUUAGCCACCUUUGCCUCUCCAUCUGCACCAAUUAUUUAAACUUUAUUUAUAUAGGUUUGGUCUUUUACGAAUCAGCAUGAAUGUUAUUUUCAAAAUCAUAAACAUAUGUGUAUACAAAACGUAAUUCUGUAGUAGAACUCAUGGACUUGUUAAGAUUUUCCUAAACAAUUUUUUUUCCCUACUACUAAAUUUAUUGUAUGUAUUGUAAAAGUAAAAAAUAUAUAUAAAGUGGCUUGCCAUGAACGUAGUUCCAGAUGACGACUGAACCGACUUUGCCCCAGUCGCCUUCACGUAGCUCACAGUUCUGAAUGUUGCCCGGAGUUGCUUUGGACACAUGGUGUGGUCUUCCUGCGAACAUGUGAUGGAACUUUCCAGCAGGAGCUUUGAUCUCCACAUCUGUGUCAAGCUUCCCCACCAAAGUAGACGCUUCUGCCAUGAUUUCUUUGCUUGCUAUGAGAAAAGAAAACGUUUAGUUUUGUAGGAGUGAGUUGUCUUGUGAGUUCUUUAGUCUCUAUAUGUAGAGGAGUGAGUUGUCUUGUGAGUUCUUUCGUCUCUAUAUGUAGAGGAGCGAGUGAGAGCAAGCGUUGAAAAAUAGAACGAUUUUUGUAAAAUACUAUAAUGAUAACUUUUGUGACCCCAUGGUGAUCAGGAGGAAUUCAGGAUCCCAUACUAAUAAUUCACCUGCCCAAUAUUUUUCUAUUAUCCUGUCAAGUUACAAAGUGGUUUAUAUUUGAUAUUAUUCAACAAUCGCAACAUUCACGUCGUUCCUUUCGCUCUCAAUUCUUCUCUUCUCGGCUCUAGUUGGUGACACAGUAAUGUUUUUUUUUUUAAAAGCAUUAAUAAAUUAGAAAUAUCGGUUCCAAGAAAUAUUUUUAGAGAUGCGAUCAGUAAUUUUGGGCUUGAGGCCCCAAUUAUGGUGGGCUGAGUUUGGGAACCACCAUUAUGGAAGAUGGACAGAUGAUCCAAAAAAAGUAUACAUAUGUUUGUUCUUUAGAUUACGAUACUAUCUGUUUGUAGUUUGUACGAUCAUAUAUUGUAGGAUUCAACUUAUUCCCAUUAACACUAACGAAAAAACGUAGAAGCCCAUAUCACCCAUCGCAUAUUUUUGAUGUCACCAGGAUGAUUUUUUUCCCUUUAACCCAGUACAGAGGAAACUUGUAAAUUGGAGGUGGGCAUGUAUUGUAAUUAGUUAGGUGUAUCAUCUUAAAACUUAAUAAAGUAAUAGAAUUUAAGUAUUUGUUAGGAAAAUUCCAACUUGACCUUGUAUCAACCAAACAUCUAUUAUUUGCUGGUUUUUUUGAUACUACUUGUUACGUUUACCCAUACACUAACUUUCCUACCGUAAGAAUCUGCAAGUGGAAGAUACGGUCUUAUGGAAGAGUAAUGCAGAGAGCUACAAAACCUCUUUCUCAUCAAAUAACACAUGGCAACUGAUCCGAAAGGAGUAUGUUAAGCAAGGGUGGAGCAAAGGUGUAUGGUUCAAAUAUGAUACGCCAAAAUACUCGUUUCAUGUUUGGACAGCGAUGCAGGACAGACUGUCAACAUGUGAUAGAAUAUUGAAAUGGAUCUCUGCUAUUGAUCCUGUCUGUGUGCUUUGCGAACAGGAAAUGGGGACAAGGAACCAUCUGUUUUACUCCUCCUCAUACUCGAGAGAAGUUUGGCAAAAACUGAUGAAGGGAUUGCUGCUUGGGAGAUAUACAGAGAAAUGGGAGGAGAUAGGUACACUUCUACUUGAUGAAAGCCAAGAUCGGGUGAAGUUAUAUCUGUUGAGAUACACUUUUCAAGCCGCUGCUCAUUCCAUUUGGAGAGAGAGAAACUGUAGAAGACAUGAGGAGAAGCAUCUCCCACACAUUUUGCUAGUGAAAGUCAUUGACAAGAAUGUGAGAAACAGAUUAUCUACCAUUAAACGCCAAGGAGGUCACAAAUUGGAAGGAGGGUUGAGAAUGUGGUUUGGUAGUAGAUAAACUCUUAUUAGAACCAGCUUUCAAAUAUUUUACAUUUUAGCUUGAAGUUGCAUUUCAAUGUAAAACAGCUGUUUUUUUUAUGAAUAAAAUUUAACAUUUAUUCAAAAAAAAAAAAAAAAACUUUCCUACCGUUUGAAUGUUACAACUUGGAUCUUUGUGAUAAAAACAGAAACUUAAAGACACAAGAAAUUUGUUUAUCCAGUCCCCUUUUCGGUAACCCUGGGGUGGGAUAUCUCUCCCACAACUUCCACUAACAAGCAAAGCUUACAAGUUUCAGUCACUUCUCACUUCCUUGAGAAUGACAAAUGAGAUUACAGAAGGAGAGUACAAUACCAAACACUCUAAGAACACAAACACUCAAACUUUGUUUCUUCUCUUGUGUUUGGUAGCUUCUCACUCUCUGACUUCUUCUCUCUUGUCUUCUUCUUGUUCUUUGCUCAGCUGCAGAUUCUCUUGACUGCCUUUGAGCCUUUUGCUUGCCUCUCUCUCUAGACUUUGUGGAGUUUCUCUUGUCUUCUUCUCUUUUUUGGUUUUGCUUUUUAGGUUUAGAGGAGGCACAAGAUAUAUAUAGUGGUAUCUUGUGUCCCCAAAACCCUAGCUCUAAUGGGCUUCGAAAACACUGAGGCUCAAACUUAACAUGUUUCCUAGAGCAUCAAUGUGCAAGAUUUAGCCUUUCUGAAGUAGUCACUUCAGUGCUCUAGACAACUUCACUGAUUUCCCUAUAGCAACAAAGUGCUGAAGACAGGUUUCUGAAGUGGGCACUUCAGAGCCAUAGGUGAAACACAUACCAAGUGCACAUAACCAACAAUCUCCACCUUGAGCGUUUGGCCACUUGUGCUUGUGCUCUCUUGCGUGUCCAACCUACAUCCAACCUACCAUGCCUACUUGAUACUUAUCCCGCUUCUUUGGGGUCUUCAUUUUUUCCUGAGACGGAAUCAUCCUCGCCUCCUUAUCUCAGCUACUCCACCUAAGUCAAACUACUUGUUUAAACUUCUUCUGAAGCUUCUCUCAACUGCUGCACCUGGAACCUGUGUCUCUACUAACACGGUUUCAGAAACUCCACUAGGUAACUCUCCACGCUGCAAUUUAACCUUCCAUCUCCAGGCUUUAUACAAAUUAACUCUACCCGGUCAAUUCGAUCCUGCAAGAUAGACCAUAAGCCAACAUAGUUACCUGGGGCGGUUUCCCCCUUUAGUGAGCGUUGAGAAGUAUGAAGCCUUGCUGCAACUCCUGACUCGGUAUCCUCUUAUCCAAGAAGCCUCCUUGCUUACUCCUAGCAUGCUUCUGAUCUUGGGUAGACUCUCCUACUUUUAUGAGAGACUCACAUUCUACUUCACUCACUUCAAACAUAAACCUUGUGACUGCUUCAAUCUCAUCUAAGUCCGUUGCAUUCUCUGAGCCUGAGAAACUACUAAUGCAACAUCUGGAAUCCUUCUUGAACCUAUAAAGCUUUUGAUUCCUUCUUCUUGAAGACUUCUUCUUGUUUUUCUCUUUGUCCACUUGAGCUACCUUCGGUUAUGCUCUUGAUUCCUCUCUGCUCAUCUUAGACUCAUUCUCUCCUGACCGUCCUGUAAUAGAAGAGCCUCCACCUUGAGCUAAUGACCCUUCCACUUAUAGCCAUAAGGAGUUGGUCCUUGAAUUAGAUUCAUGCUGAAAGUCACAUUCCUUGACUUCUUCUUUUAAGUUUUCUUAACCUACUUCUCUGCUCCUUUCCCGGACUUCUUUCUCUUCCCUUGGCACCUUCACUUCAGCCUCUGUGACCUUGACUUGAAAGUAGUAGAUACCUUCAUGAUACUCACCUGAUAUAACCUAUCUUCCAACUUUAUAAAACUGAACCUUAAAGCCUUAUCCUCUGUACUUGCAACCUGACUUCUCCAACAUUCCAUAGAAAAUCAGAUUUCUACUCACCUUUGGUAUGUAUUUAACAUCCUUGAGUAUCACUUCUGAACCAUCCGGAUUCUCAAUCCGCACCUUUCCUAUCCGCUUGAUGUUACCAUAUGUGUUGUUAGCCAUUAACACUUUACGACCAUCAAGCUCCGUGAAGUCAAAUAAGACUUCCUUGUCUGGUGUGUUGUGGUAUGAACUACAUGAGUCCAUAAUCCAUCCUUUCUUUGUGUUAUAAGUGCUAACACUUAAAAUCAUUGGUUCUUUAUACUCAGUUGCAGUAUUUGCAGAGCAUUUAUCCCUCAUCUCUGGGCAAUCUCUUUUCUAAUGCCCUUCAUCUCCACAGAUAAAACAAUCUUUGUUGUUCUUAUCAAGUUUUGGCUUUGACUGAUACUUUCCUCUGCUCUUAGACCUUGCUCUUCCAAGUUGGUUGUUUCCUCUUGAAUCAACAUAGAGACCUUCAGCAUUUGGUCUAGACUGGCUUCCACUUUCAGCCAACUCUCUCUCCUUGGACCUUGCAGCUCAUGUUACUUCAUUUAAGCUGAGACUGUCCCUUACAUACUUGAAAGUUUCCUUUAGCUAGUCAUACUUGUGGGGUAAUGAACUUAGCAGCAAAAUCGUUUGGACUUCAUCUGACACAUCUACACCUAGAUUGUUCAGAUCUGUUACCAGCUUGUGAAAGUUAUCAACAUUCUCAUCUAUACUCUUCACAUCAUUCAUCUUGAAAGUAUAGAACUUCAGCUGUAGAUAUAUGCGAUUUGGCAAUGAAGACUCCAUGUACAACAUGUCCAAUGUUGACCAUAUGGCUGCUGCUGUUUCACAGUGCUUGAUCUUCCUUAGCACUUGAUUUCCCAUAUUCAAAACAAUCAGAUCUUUAGCACUUUUUGAUUUCUCGAGCUUUACUGGAUCUAUGCUUGAACCAGCAUCUGAGAUCCCUGCUAACCCUUUCUAUGGAUCCUUCAUAGCAGCUUCCAACUCCUCUUGUUCACUAGGUGGAUCCUUCAACAGCUUCUCAUCUGUAAGAAUUCCUUUCAAACCUAAAACACCAAAGUGAGCUAGCUACGAACCUUCCAUAAGGAGAAAUCCCAUGUUCCAUCAAACCUAUCGACCUCUAUCCUUGUAUUCAACAUUGAGUCUUCAAGGAGAAUUUUCUAACACUCUUGCUUUGUACCUGGACCUCUGAUACCACUUGUUGGUUAAAUUCCAACUUGACCUUGUAUCAACCAAACAGCUAUCACUUGCUAGUUUUGAUACUACAUGUUAGGUUUACCCAUACACCUAAUUUUCCUACCCGUUGAGUGUUAAAAUUUGGAUCUUUGUGAUGAAAACAUAAACUUAAAGACACAAGAAAUUUGUUCACUCUGUUCCCUUUCCGGUACCUCUGGGUGGGAUCUCUCUCCCACAACUUCCACUAACAAGCAAAGCUUACAAGUUUCAGUCACUUCUCACUUCCUUGAAAAUGACAAAAGAGAUUUCAGAAGAAGAGUACAAUACCAAAACCCUCUAAGAACACAAAGACUCGAACUUUGUUUCUUCUCUUGUCUUUGGUAGCUUCUCACUCUCUGAAUUCUUCUCUAUUGUCUCCUUCUUGUUCUUUGCUCAGCUGCAAAUCCCUCUUGACUGUCUUUGAGCCUUUUGCUUGCCUCUCUUUCUAGACCUUGUGGAGUUUUUCUUGUCUUCUUCUCUUAUUUUGGCUUUGUUUCCUAGGUUUAGAGGAGGCACAAGAUAUAUAUAAUGGUAUCUUGUCCCUAAAACUCUAGCUCUAAUGGGCUUCGAAAACACUGAGGUCCAAACACAACAGCUUUCCUAGAACAUCAAUGUGCAAGAUGGAGCCUUUCUGAAGUUGUCACUUCACUGCUCUAGGCAACUUCGCCGAUUUCCCUAUAGCAAUAAAGUGCUGAAAACAGGUUUUUAAAGUGGACACUUCAGAACCGUAGGUGAAACAGAAACCAAAUGCACAUAACCAACGGUAUUAUACCUUGAUAUAAAAAUCAUAGUAUAUGGUUCAAUAGACUACAAGUCCAAAUAUCAUCUAUAUUUACCGCGUAACCGGAACCAAACCAUUACCGAAUUGGAACCAAAAUUUUAUCGGUUCUUAUAAUUGUUAUCCGAACCGAUCCAAAAAUCGAAAGAAUGGAACCAGACCCGAACCAAAUUUUAUAGAUAACCAAACGGUUCGUAUAUUUCUAAAACCGAAAAAAAAAAAACUGAGAAUUAAAAAAACCGAACCAGAACCGAACCGAAAACCGAACGUCCAGGCCUAAUGUUAUAUGUUCUUUGCAAUAUUGCUUGGAUGUCAAGUACAGGUAAUAUUAUAUGUCGAUACCUGUUAAUACUAAAAAGAAUAACAUUUCUCUCGAUCGAUGCUAUUCCUUCUUAUUUAACCCUCGUUAAAUUAGGUUUCAAAGGAGGAGAUAAUUUUUUUGAAACAUAUAAGAAUCAAUACUAUUAAAAGGGAAGGAGUCUUAAAAAAUCUACCUAUAAAAGUUGUUUGGACCUUUUCAUUUAACUCAUUAUUUUUGAUCUUAUCUUAAAUUUAAACUAACAAUAUAUUACCAUAUAUUUCUCUAACAAUAAUUUAUUCAAUUCAUUUAUUUAUUCAAAUCUCACUUCUAAAUACUAAUCAUUACUAUUACUAUAUUUACUAUUUUGAUUUUUAAUCAUAAAAGCAUUAAAACUAAUGUUUUAUAUUAUCACUUUUAUUAUAUAAUAUAUGAUUUAAAGCUAGAGAAGUUACACGACAUAUAUGUGUACAUUCUAACUUCCUCUUUCCUUUAUAGUAAAGUAAUCAUAUCAUGUAUAAACUUUCUCACUAAAAUCUCAUAUCAUAUACUUAAAUUUCAACCGUCUAUAGUUUAAUAGAUAUUUUCAUAUUUAAAAAUGAGUUUUCUGAAUAUUCAUAUUACCUUCACAAAAAUGUAGAAAUUCAUUGGUUCUAUUAAAACUAACCCGACUUCACGAUAUCAAUAUUGAUUAUUCACGAUUUUGAAAAUUAUUGGUUUAGAUAUUAUACUUUGAUAUACUUUUCACUUAAAAACGAAACAACACUAUUAAAAGAGAAAGAGUCUUAAAAAAUCUAAUAUAAAAAAAUUGUUGGAGUCAUGUAUAACAUUUUGUUUUUGGUAAUACUAUUAAUCAUUCUAACCAUACAAUAUUUUAAAUAUUUUUAACAGAUCCUAAUAUUAUUCCUUAUGAUAUCUUUACUCAGAAAAAUAUUUCAUCAACCAUGUUUUUGUACAAUAACGUUAAAACUCUAUAUCAAAAGGUUGUUGGACCUGAUAUGGACGUAAUGGGUCCACAUAUGUUCGGGUAUUUAGGAUCCUAAAAAUUUCGAAAUAUCUAAAAAAAUCUCAAAAAUAUUUGAAACUCCAAACAAAUACCUAAAAAAUUCAAAUACCUAAAGAUUUAAAAUCUGACACUAUGAACUGAAAUACCCUUUUUUUAAUUUGAAAAUUUACCUGAAAUCAAAAACUAUAAUCGUAAACCAAAAACUUAAAAAAAACAUCCAUAAUACCGGAAACAUAUUCAAAAUAUCCAAAUAUACCUAAUAAACACAACAUAUUUAUUAUCAGGUCUAGGGUAGGCCCCAAACUCAAACAAAGACAUGCAGGUCCAAAAAAACCCAAUAGAUUAUCUUCUCUGGACAUGAACUAAACCUAUAUUUUCGGGUCAGUUCGGUUUGUUUUUUUGGUCCGGAUAUAAUUCUCAUGCCUAAAAGAAACUUACGUAAAAGUGUACAUAUAAAAUCUCAAAUAAACUAAUUCGUAGAUUAUAUAACUGUUAAAAAUUAUAUUUUUUGAUAUAAUAAGACUUUGUAUUAUAAUAUAAUCCAAAAAUAUCCGCGUUUUCUAAGCGCGGGUCAAAAUCUAGUUAAUACUAUUAAAAAGGAAGGAGUUUUAAUAAAUUUACUUAGAAAGGUUGUUUGGACCCUUUCAUUAACUAAGAAUAUUUUGGUCUUACAUUGAUUUGGACAUGCAAUACGUUACCUUAAUUUUUCUAACAAUCAUUUAGUCAAAACUUUUAUUUAUUGGAUUCAUAUCUUUUUGAAAACGAAAAGAUUAUACCAUAUAUAUACUACCACAUAAAUUUGAUUCACGAAAAUAUAAUAUUAUGUAUACUUUUUGAUACUCUUCUUUAUAUAUGUCUCAUUAACUUUAUAAUUAAGAUAAGUUUAAAAAUUAUAUAUUAUGUUAAUUUUAUUUUAUUAAUAAAUAACAAUUUAGUAUUUAAGAUAAGUUUAAAAUUAUCAAAAACCCAACAAAUCUUUUUUUACUACUCAACAAAAAACCUACAAAUCUAUACUAUUAAAUUAGCCAAAAACAUCUCAAAUAAAUCUUAAGUUUCACCAACUAAACAAAUGUAACUUUUAUAAAAUGCACAAAAAUAUAAUGAAAUAUUAGAUUUGGCCAUUUUGGUCUUCGGGUCAAAUAUAAAUCGAUUUCUUUCAGGUCCAAGUUUUUUGGGUCUUGGACAUUUAUAUCCAAAUAAGUAUUUUCUUGUAUUUUAUUAUUAACCGAUGUAGAGUACUACAUAAACUUCAUGUCGUCUUGUAUCUUUACCCCUAGUAUACGCCGAUUCAAAUUAAGAACUUCAAAUAUAUCUCCACCAUACUAUUGUGCACACACACAUACACGCACGACACACGCCAACAUAUAUCUCUUACCCAAACUAGGACACGGCACAUUAUUUAAUUCAGUUUCAGAUACUUAAAGAGGCCAUGCACACACACGAGGAGUAAUCCUCUAUUCUUCGUUCAAGAGAUGUUCAUCGAUCUCUUUUGAGAUUUCAACACAGAACUGGAGGAGGGUUUCCGGGUGAGCAACCUCAUCGCUAAUUUUCUCGUACUCAAGGUGCCAGUGCACAACACUACCAGGCCCUCCAUGCUUAGGGGUCACCUGGAUUGUGAUCACAAAGCUUUUGUACUCUUUCAUCAGAUCACCUUCUACAACCCUGAACGUGAUCAGGUUCUUUUCUGGCUCCACCGCCUCGACCCUCUCCUU
rnacentral:lncRNA from 1 species